GCCAUAUCACAUUGAAACACUAGUUCCUGUACAAUCACAGAAGUUAAGAAACAUUGAGCCUGGUCAGUACGUAAAUGGGUGACUGCUUGGGAAUACCAGGUGCUGUAC